rnacentral:rRNA from 1 species
GUCGAACGAUGAAGCCGGAGCUUGCUCUGGUGGAUUAGUGGCGAACGGGUGAGUAACACGUGAGUAACCUGCCCUUGACUCUGGAAUAAGCGUUGGAAACGACGUCUAAUACUGGAUACGAGCUUCAGCCGCAUGGCUAGGAGCUGGAAAGAAUUUCGGUCAAGGAUGGACUCGCGGCCUAUCAGGUAGUUGGUGAGGUAAUGGCUCACCAAGCCUACGACGGGUAGCCGGCCUGAGAGGGUGACCGGCCACACUGGAACUGAGACACGGUCCAGACUCCUACGGGAGGCAGCAGUGGGGAAUAUUGCACAAUGGGCGCAAGCCUGAUGCAGCAACGCCGCGUGAGGGACGACGGCCUUCGGGUUGUAAACCUCUUUUAGUAGGGAAGAAGCGAAAGUGACGGUACCUGCAGAAAAAGCACCGGCUAACUACGUGCCAGCAGCCGCGGUAAUACGUAGGGUGCAAGCGUUAUCCGGAAUUAUUGGGCGUAAAGAGCUCGUAGGCGGUUUGUCGCGUCUGCUGUGAAAACUGGGGGCUCAACCCCCAGCCUGCAGUGGGUACGGGCAGACUAGAGUGCGGUAGGGGAGAUUGGAAUUCCUGGUGUAGCGGUGGAAUGCGCAGAUAUCAGGAGGAACACCAAUGGCGAAGGCAGAUCUCUGGGCCGUUACUGACGCUGAGGAGCGAAAGCAU